UUAUUUGCUCUACAUAAAAUCAUCUUGUUGCUCAGCUAAAGUUCAUAUCAUCAAGCUGAAUUACAGAACUUCUAAAACAUCACAGAGGAAGUUAUAUUGAACAACUUAUAUUGCUGUAAUUGAUGUUUUAUUUGAAUAUCAGAAUAUUUUUUAGUAACUCCUCUAGGGGCUGGACAUGCAAAUGAGACUUUCCCUUUAUAAGCUCAGACUCCAGCUGCAUUAUUUCCACUUAGUUUAGACUUUUUUCAGGAACAGCCAUGCAGCAACAAAUCAUUAACUGUUUCAUUUUGAUAUUAUUGACCAUAACCCGUUGCGGAUGUCAGACACUAACCGAGUCUGAGCCGGUGGUCCUUAAACCUGGAGGAUCUCAUCAACUCACCUGUACCUACUCUGGGAUUAGUGAUAGUGAUGCAGCUAUAUCCUGGAUUAGACAGGCUCAAGAAAAAGGCCUUGAGUGGAUCUCACUCAUUUCUGCUCCGAGUGGUAGUGAUAAAUACUACUCUCAGUCUGUUCAGGGAAGAUUCACCAUCUCCAGAGACAACAGCAAGAAGCAGGUGUAUCUGCACAUGACCAGCCUGAAGACUGAAGACACAGCUGUGUAUUACUGUGCUCGGACAACACACUGACACAAACAGCUGCAAUGCUGUACAAAAACUUCACAUUCACUUACAGCUUCAUUUAUUUGAAGUGAAGCUCAAAUAUUCACACCAGAG